GCAGUAAUGAUACAAAAUAAAAUCUGUUAAAGACAGAUAGCUUGAGAACCUAAAAAUAAUUACAGAUAAAUGAUUCUGAAUGUUCAGCCUCCUUGUCCUCUGCAACAUGACAUUAGCCCACAGUUGCUAUAUGAGACAUCUGUGGUUUUCCUGUGAACAAGCCCCACAUCUACAUUUCUAUUGAAACAUGUAUUCUUUGUCCCAGUCACAGCCACCAUCUUCUGUAAAGUCAGACUAACAGUAUGUACGUAUCUCUCUAAAUAAUUACGUUGUUCAUCCCUGAUAUGGCUGGUCAUCUGUUUUUGCUCAUCCUCCUUUUCGAUACCUUCCAGUACAUCAAAGCCAAAGAUCUUCCUCGGCCCAGUCUAACAGUGAUUCCUGCAGUCAUCAAUGAGAGAGACUCUGUUCAGCUGAACUGUCAGACUCCUCCAUCUGUCUCUGAGUGUUACUUCAAAAUGGAAGGGCAAGUGGAAUUCACCCUACCAUCACCCUGUCAUCAGACACUCACAGGAACACUACUGGUGAAGUGGACAGGUCAGAGUUCACCAGCUGAGGUCAAAAUAAAAUGUCAGUACAGUGCUACAGGUUCACAGUUUAGAUCCAUAUACAGUGAGCCAUCUACAGUCACAAUUCAGGGUAAGAAUAUUAUUUGAAUGGUUGUAAACAAUGUACUGUUGUGCCAUCAUUACCAUGUUCCUCUUGUGAUAUGUUAUCAUACUGUGUGUUGUCAUAAGCUAUUACAUGAAACAAUCAAGCAAUAUAU